rnacentral:lncRNA from 1 species
CGAUGGGCCCGCUCCGAUUCCUGCGAAGAUCUCACUCUUGCUCCCCCUCUUGCAGCUCCUCCCCGCCCAUCCCAAAGGGAAGUCAGCGUGAAGCGUUGACUCUGCUGCCGGGAGUCUCCGGGGCCGCCGCGACGUUGACUUUGGGACGGAUUCCACGGCAUACUCUGAUGCUAGAUCACCUGAUGAUUACUCCCCGCAUCGUCAUCAUUGCCAUCGUCAUCGUCCGGCCUGACCCGGAAUCCUGCCGUUGACCUCGGGUAAUCACUUGUCAUUGGGUGUCUCUGUACGGUCGCUUUCCCCCGGUUUGAUGGCUCUCCAGAUUAUAUAUAUCGUGAACGAGGCUUCAUAAGGGAAAAACAAAAAAAAGUGGCAGAUUUGUGAAGGGUUGGUAGCGGUCGCCUCUCUCUCUCUCUCUCUCUCUCUCUCUCUCUCUCUCUC